rnacentral:rRNA from 1 species
CACAGAGGUCUCAAGCGUUGUUCGGAUUCAUUGGGCGUAAAGGGUGCGUAGGCGGCGCGGUAAGUCGGGUGUGAAAUCUCGGGAGCUUAACUCCGAAACUGCAUUCGAUACUGCCGUGCUUGAGGACUGGAGAGGAGACUGGAAUUUACGGUGUAGCGGUGAAAUGCGUAGAUAUCGUAAGGAAGACCAGUGGCGAAGGCGGGUCUCUGGACAGUUCCUGACGCUGAGGCACGAAGGUCAGGGGGAGCAAAACGGG